rnacentral:rRNA from 1 species
CACGUAGGGCGCAAGCGUUGUCCGGAAUUAUUGGGCGUAAAGAGCUCGUAGGCGGUGUGUCGCGUCGGCCGUGAAAACCUGCAGCUUAACUGUGGGCGUGCGGUCGAUACGGGCAUCACUGGAGUUCGGCAGGGGAGACUGGAAUUCCUGGUGUAGCGGUGAAAUGCGCAGAUAUCAGGAGGAACACCGGUGGCGAAGGCGGGUCUCUGGGCCGAUACUGACGCUGAGGAGCGAAAGCGUGGGGAGCAAACAGG